UACGUAGGGUGCAAGCGUUAAUCGGAAUUACUGGGCGUAAAGCGUGCGCAGGCGGUUUUGUAAGACUGGCGUGAAAUCCCCGGGCUCAACCUGGGAAUGGCGAUGGUGACUGCAAGGCUAGAGUUUGGCAGAGGGGGGUAGAAUUCCACGUGUAGCAGUGAAAUGCGUAGAUAUGUGGAGGAACACCGAUGGCGAAGGCAGCCCCCUGGGUCAAAACUGACGCUCAUGCACGAAAGCGUGGGGAGCAAACAGG
rnacentral:rRNA from 1 species